rnacentral:lncRNA from 1 species
AGAGGCUUGCAGAUCUAAUGUAGAAAGCCAGAUACAAGAGCAUUAUUUUCUGAUGCACUAACUCUCACAAGAACACAAAUGACAACUGAAAUUCAGUUGUGCACACUUCGCAGAUCACUAGUCACAAACCAUUCAUAAUCAUACCUGUCUGAAAUUUUCACUGGGCACAAUGGGGGGGAAACUUUCGAGUCCUUUGCCACACACACACAAACACACAUUUUCAUUUGUCGACGAAAACAAUAUCAGUAAAGAAUACAACAAUAAUGUAUCUGUGUCCACAAUAGUACAGGAGCCGCUGCCAAAAAUCAACCCAUCCAUAUCUGCAAACAGUUACGUCGGACGUCUCCUCAUACAAAGGAAAACGGCAUUGAGGGCAAGCCAUGCAUCUGCCGGAAAAAAACAAGCCCGUGCAGCCAAACUGUGAGAAGGACUACUCGCAAACUGGUGAUCAAACCUGACAACCGAGUAUGAAAUGGCAUCAGCCAGUCAACUCACCCAGUCCUGAGCCAAUGCGGUGUCUUCUUUUAGCUCGUUGCUCAGGUCCAACAUUACAGGAGACCACAGAAGAGAAACAUCUCAAGAAAUGCGGUCAAGCUCCUGUAAAUUUACUGAGCAGGCAAAAGGCCGGAGUCAAUGAGCGAUGACCAGCUAUCUGGAUGAUUUC